rnacentral:rRNA from 1 species
AUGUCAAUCUUGAUGAAUGCAGAGAAGUUGUUUAUGAGUCUCGCGAUUGCUUUGGUCUCAGAAUUGUUACUAUAACACGCUUGUCGGUUUGCACCAUUGGCGAUAUGUCAUCAUUAGAAGGC